rnacentral:rRNA from 1 species
UACGGGGGGAGCAAGCGUUGUUCGGAUUUACUGGGCGUAAAGGGCGCGUAGGCGGCCUGCUAAGUCGAACGUGAAGUCCCUGGGCUCAACCCAGGAACUGCGUCCGAUACUGGUUGGCUUGAAUCCGGGAGAGGGACGUGGAAUUCCAGGUGUAGCGGUGAAAUGCGUAGAUAUCUGGAGGAACACCGGUGGCGAAGGCGACGUCCUGGACCGGCAUUGACGCUGAGGCGCGAAAGCCAGGGGAGCAAACGGG